GACGAACGCUGGCGGCGUGCUUAACACAUGCAAGUCGAACGAAGUGGCGCACGGGUGAGUAACGCGUAAUCAACCUGCCCUUCAGAGGGGGACAACAGUGGGAAACGACUGCUAAAACCGCAUAGUGAUGGCGGGGAUGGCGGGUAAUUAGCUAGUUGGGGGGGUAACGGCCAAACACGGCGAAGAUCAGUAGCCUUGCUGGAGGCAUGAACGGCCACAUUGGGACUGAGACAAGGCCCAGACUCCUACGGGAGGCAGCAGUGGGGAAUCUUCCGCAAUGGACGAAAGUCUGACGGAGCAACGCCGCGGGAGUGAUGACGGCCUUCGGGUUGUAAAGCUCUGUUAAUCGGGACGCGGUACCGGAAUAGAAAGCCACGGCUAACUACGUGCCAGCAGCCGCGGUAAUAC
rnacentral:rRNA from 1 species